GACAAGGAGUCGUCUCUUUGCAGGCAUCCUCAUAUCUUUCACCAUCCUUUGUGUGAUUGGAAUAAGUUCGCUGCUUAUAUUACGAUACACCCAUCUUAAAAAGUUGGAUGGCGGUUUCUCAAUUACUAGUAAAUUCAAAAAGAAAAAUAAUGAUGAUGGAGGCAUUGUGUAUUUCUCUGAUAGAAGGGAUCCUGCAGAUAAUGCUUUUGUUAACCCAUCUUUCUCUGAAGUUGGUGAGGAUUCUGUGAAAAUUGACAAGACAUUAGGCACAGUGUCAGAUGCAUAGAAAAGAUCCUUGACGUUGAUUUGUGCUGGGACUACCUGAACAACAUCAGUGCUACCACCAUCGGUCCAACUUCCUUCUUCGCAAAACGCUUACUGCUCAUAUAAUUUUUAUUUUUAUGGCGCUCACACCAAUUUCAAUUAAACUUAAAUUAAGAGAAUACAGAAAAGACACUAGAGGAUACAAAAUAUGAGUUACUUGAAAAUAUUAUUACAGUAUUUAACUAAAUCCAUAAAUUAUAUUUAUUUAUAACUAUUACCAGAACACACAUUUCAUAUAACAGGAUGACUAACUUAAAUAAGGUCAUACUUUUUUAUUUCUUUUUUUGCGAACUUAUUUUUUUAAAGAUCGUCAGAGGCGGGCGGAAAAGAAAAAUUAAAAAUAAAAUUGUGUUUUCUUGUUUUGCAAAUAUUUUUGCCAAAAAAAUUCUGA